CAUAGGCCUUAGUUUAGAACAUUCAUGAGAAGCAGGAGAGAAGGAAAAAGAUGAAGGUGGUGUAUUUUAAAGAAAAAGCUGUACUUGGUAAAAAGCAAAACCAACCAACCAAAAAGAUUAAUAUUAUGGGGCAGAAGUCCAGCUUAACAAGAGCUAUGUGUAGUCUGAGUUUUUUCUUCAUAGAAGGUAACACUUCAAUUCAUCAGACUAGUUUGUUUUGUGCUGUUUUCCUGAAUUCUUCUGUAUGGUGUCAGUUCUUGAAGAUGUUCUUUGUUCAUCUCGAACAGGUUUGUACAAGAUUUGGUGAAAGAAAACAUCUUACACUGUUAAAGGUUUGCAGUCACAAGCGAGGUUAUUAUUCCCCUGGUUUCCUCUACCAAAACUCAGCAGCAUCCAUCUCUAUGAAACAUACUUGAGGGUCUCCAAGCUUCUGCCAGCUGUGUUACCUUUGGAACCAAAAACUAAACUGUAUUUCAUCAGUGCUACGGAGCUCCAAUGAGAGGAUGUGCCAGCACAUUCAGAGGAAGAUAAGAGAGCUCUGUCCAUGCUCCAUCACAGUGAGCAUUUCCUUAGCCCUAGUGAUGAAUCAUAAUGGAAUCUGCUAAGUAGAAUUCUUAAGUUAAACUUUUUCUUUUCUACUGUAUUUGUCAUUUCAAUGAAGGGGGCUCCUUUUGUGGUGUUUGUUUGUUUUUUUUUUAAUGUGGUUUUAUUUUUCCCAGAAGCCCCAAAGAUGGCAAAAAUCAGUAGCAAAUAGGAGUCUCGCAUUCUGGUCUUCUAGAAAAUAUAAACCCAAAUUUAGAUUUUAUUUUUCCAUCUUCAUUUUCUUGGUUCAAACAACAGUUAUCUAAAGAGAACAUAACAUUUUGCACACAUCAGUUACUGACACCAAUUACUUUUAUCUUUUGCUUUCUCCAGGAGGCAAACAAGCCUUGUUAUCUUCAUUGAAUAGGAAGGAGCUUCAGGCAGGGGGAAGGGGUCGCCUUCAAAAAUCCUGUAGGCACCUCUCUGCAUCCUAGGGCUAUCUCUUAACCAUACAGCAUCUGAGUCAUGGACAAUGAAUUCUGGCCCCAUCUUUCGGUGUUGUCUUUAAUCACAAACCAUUCUUCUAACUUUAUUUCCCUGUAUGAAAAAAACUUUUUUUUUUCCACUUUACUGUGAGGAGGGGUUGAAAAAGGGAAGAUAAACGGUUUCUAGAAUCAAAUUCUAAUCUUUUUAAAUACUUGUGUUGUUAUGCCAGCAAACUCACAUCCUCUGCAGGCAAUAUAGCUCCAGAUGCUUCCUUUUCUUGAUGUUAUAAUAGAGGUCUUCCUGAAAAGUGUUUAGUUUUCAGAGCAUCUGAUUUGUUUUCUUUCUUUUUGCUUCUGCAGAACUAAUUUACGGGUUCAAUAUUAAAAUAAAUGUCAUUAAGUCAUAGUGAACA
rnacentral:lncRNA from 1 species